CUCUCUCUCUCUAUAUAUAUAUAUAUAUAUCAUGAGAUUGGUUCUCUAGCUUGUCCCGUUAAAUAGUCGCUUGUUGAAAGAAAGUUGAAAAGAACAUAGCCUUUGAUAUUUGUCUGAAUAUUUGUGAUUAAUUUAUUAUCUAAAAUCAAUGGCUAACACAUGUACACAUCCUAAAUCUUAGAAUAAUUUGGUAUUUUAAAUUUAUAUAGUAUUUAUGAAUGUCUUACAAUAUA
rnacentral:lncRNA from 1 species